rnacentral:rRNA from 1 species
GGAGUUAGGACCGUGUCUCAGUUCCUAUGUGGGGGACCUUCCUCUCAGAACCCCUAACGAUCGAAGGCUCGGUGGGCCGUUACCCCGCCGACUACCUAAUCGUACGCAUCCCCAUCGGUGUACCGAUAAAUCUUUAAUCGGGAAAAGAUGUCUUCACCCGACCACAUCCGGUAUUAAUCCUCCUUUCAGAGGGCUAUCCCGGAGUACACGGCAGGUUGGAUACGCGUUACGCACCCGUGCGCCGGUCGCCAUCAAGGUAUUGCUACCUCGCGCUGCCCCUCGACUUGCAUGUGUUAAGCCUGCCGCUAGCGUUCAUC